ensembl:lncRNA
UUCCCUGAACUCCCCACUCACAAUCAAACUCCUUUGUGCCCCUGUGGCACUUAGAACUUUGUUUACACAUCCAAAAAGGCUGCUUACAAAAUUGUCUAAUGGUCUAAGUUUGUGUCUGUGAGCUCCAUGAGGGUCCGCAUACCAGUCGGGCUCAUGGAUGCUCUGUGAGUAUCCCCAGAAGGAAUGGAUUGAAUUCUGUUUUGGUUUGAGCAAGUAGAACAUUCAAGAAGGGAUGAACUAUAAUUUCCUUUUUUUAAUUUUUAAAAAUUUUUUAAAUUAAAAAAAUUUUUUAAUGUUUAUUUUAUUUAUUUUUGAGAGACAGAGAGAGACAGCAUGAGCGGGAGAGGGCAGAGAGAGAGAGAGGGAGACCCAGAAUAUGAAGCAGGCUCCAGGCUCUGAGCCGUCAGCACAGAGCCCGACGUGGGGCUCAAACUCACGAGCCGUGAGAUCAUGACCUGAGCCGAAGUCGGACACUCAACCGACUGAGCCACCCAGGCGCCCCGAAGUAUGAUUUCAUAAAGGCCCUUCUUGCAAGACCCCAAAGACAGAGGAGAGAAAGCACUUGACAGUGGAGGCCUUCCUGCUUUUACUAGAGAAAAUGACAGAAUGGAAUGGAAGAGAAGAAGGUGUUUCCAGGGAAGUUUUCAAAAAUCUUUCUCUUCCUUUCUCUUCCUCUCACUUACAUAACUAAGUAAAUGUUCACAAAGUACCCUCCCUGAGCCAGGGACUAUGGAAGGUGCUGGAAAUGCACUGAGAAACAAGGUAGUCUAGAUUCCUGGUCAUACGUAGUAAUAGUCCUUUGUCCUUUCCUACACACAGAUAUAUUGUGUCCUCCUGGAAUCUAGUCUCCUUUAAGGCACAAUUCUCCAGAUUUAUGUAAACCAACUGCAACGUGACUGAAUCUUUCACUUGGCCUUUGGAGCCUACAACCGUCUCUGGGUGGCGUUGGCCCAAAGGAUCAACUCUUUCGCAUUUGUCGUGUUACCAGUGAAAAUGAGGUAGCAACAAGAACCUUGCCCUGUCUUCCCAGAUUUCCUUGUGGAUGUGUGGUGCACGUUGAAGGAGCUAACGUGUUGCCAUCUCAUCAGGAACAGAGUAGCCUCACCUCCACCUCUGGCCCUCCCCACCUCUGGCCCUCCCCACUCUGGCCCAAUACAGCAAGCUACAGAAAAGCUAAAUUUUCUGAAGUUCCUUAAGAAAGUUGGAGGAGAUUAGGACUUAAACACAACCGGAUGGGUUGGACUGCACUGUGGCAGGGCCUCUUUUCCCACUGAACCAGAGGGAAAGCAGAAGUGUCAGUAGGCAGCUUAGUAGGUGGGAAUAUGAGGGCAUCUGAGAUCGGAGCCUGAUGGCUCAGCUCGAUUACAACACCGGCUUCAUUUUCUCCCUACUGUCUCCCUGGACAGUUUCCUACACUAUUUAACCCAUUAGUCAUGACACAGAUAGUCAUGAAAAUAAUAGUGUGUAUUUUUUUGAGCCAGUGUGAAGGAGAAGCAUCAUCCUUUCCCCCUCCCCCACUGAGGCUAGCAGAGUAGUGGUGAAAGAAAAAUAAAUUUCUGGGGAACGGAGCUGAGCUGUGUGGU